GUGGGGAAUAUUGGACAAUGGGCGAAAGCCUGAUCCAGCCAUGCCGCGUGUGUGAAGAAGGUCUUCGGAUUGUAAAGCACUUUAAGUUGGGAGGAAGGGCAGUAAGUUAAUACCUUGCUGUUUUGACGUUACCGACAGAAUAAGCACCGGCUAACUUCGUGCCAGCAGCCGCGGUAAUACGAAGGGUGCAAGCGUUAAUCGGAAUUACUGGGCGUAAAGCGCGCGUAGGUGGUUUUGUAAGUUGGAGGUGAAAUCCCCGGGCUCAACCUAGGAACUGCCUCCAAAACUGCAUGACUAGAGUACGGUAGAGGGUAGUGGAAUUUCCUGUGUAGCGGUGAAAUGCGUAGAUAUAGGAAGGAACACCAGUGGCGAAGGCGACUACCUGGACUGAUACUGACACUGAGGUGCGAAAGCGUGGGGAGCAAACAGGAUUAGAUACCCGGGUAGUCC
rnacentral:rRNA from 1 species